UGUCGGUGUGGCCGAGGACCGCGGCCGUCUGGCCGGUGACCAGGUCCAGGACGCGGCUGUGCUGCUCGGUCUCGGGCAG
rnacentral:tRNA from 1 species